AAGCCGGAAGAGAAGGAACAGAAG
rnacentral:piRNA from 1 species